rnacentral:rRNA from 1 species
AACGAACGCUGGCGGCAUGCCUAACACAUGCAAGUCGAACGAGACCUUCGGGUCUAGUGGCGCACGGGUGCGUAACGCGUGGGAACCUGCCCUUAGGUUCGGAAUAACUCCCCGAAAGGGGUGCUAAUACCGGAUAAUGUCUUCGGACCAAAGAUUUAUCGCCUUUGGAUGGGCCCGCGUUGGAUUAGCUAGUUGGUAGGGUAAAAGCCUACCAAGGCGACGAUCCAUAGCUGGUCUGAGAGGAUGAUCAGCCACACUGGGACUGAGACACGGCCCAGACUCCUACGGGAGGCAGCAGUGGGGAAUAUUGAACAAUGGGCGAAAGCCUGAUCCAGCAAUGCCGCGUGAGUGAUGAAGGCCUUAGGGUUGUAAAGCUCUUUUACCCGGGAUGAUAAUGACAGUACCGGGAGAAUAAGCGCCGGCUAACUCCGUG